AGCGACGAGGAUUGGAGGGGCAAAAGUCAGCUCUGGAAAAAAAAAAAAAUUGCUUUAUGGGAGGAAAAAAAUCUUUAAACAGUCACGCCCCCUUUUGCAAUGACCGGUCCCUUCACUGCGUGUAAAUCCGACAUCAGCAACCUGGAAAAGCUAGGAGCCUGGCGUGCUGAGCUGUCUCUGUGCAUGCGUGUGUGCGACAGGCAGCCGCAGAGAUCUAUGCGCGGUAUAUCGAGGGAGGUGUCAUCCCGGGCUUCUCCUCCUCCGUGCCAAAAAAAUACCCAACCCCACCUUCUGGAAACCUGACUAAUUGAAUUACUAAGACCUCGGAGUAGUUCCUGUGCAGCCUUACUGCUGAAGGUAGAAUAAAUAAUCUCAUGAAAAAGAACAUAAGGAAAUGGCUUCAGACAAACCUGAACCAGGAUUUACUUUUGUGUGUAUCAAGACAUAUCUUGCUCAGUCAAGGAGCGUGCAGGAGAAUAUGGAAAACAUAUGGAAAAUACAGUUGGUUGAAAACAAAGGAAAUCAUUUGAGGCCAUGUUUAGAUACUCAGCAUCUCAGUGUGUUCUACAAAGAGAGGUAGGGAAGAGUUUUGUCAUCUUUUUUACAGGAAGGCCUGAGGCAUUUGAGUUCAGUAAUUUUCUAGAAGCAUCUGCUUCAAAUUUAUAGAUGAGACUUUUCUGUAGGUCCCUGAAGUUACGGUUGGCUAUGGGUUGAAGAUCACUACUAGCUCGGGCUGUUGCCCACAAAUACAACUCUAUGGUAUCGCAGUCCUGAAAGCAGCUUUCUUCUGCUGUUCUUGAAUAGUCAACAAGACUUGCCUAACCGUAUCAUAGUUUCUGUAAGAGGCACCCCAAUAAGAAAAACUAGAACUGUGAAAUAAUGCCUUUUCCAGCAGUAUCCAAAAUACUCUGCUAUUAGGAACUGCAUCAGUAUUGAGGCUGAAGUCUGGGAGAAUUUUACUACUUACAGUGAAACCAGAAUUUUGCCAAGUUUAACAUGACAUAAUCCAGGCCAGGAUUUAUGGACACCCUGCAUACUGAUACCAGGCAGCACCAAGCUGUAUUUAAUCAGAUAGGGAGUGGAAACUCAGAGCAUGAUGUCUGUGGUGAGUAGCUUCAGUAAAUAGUGCCUUUUAAUAUCUGUAUAAACAUUUUCCACCAUCAUUUUAGACAAAGAAAAAGCACUGUACCCCCAACUUUAUUAAUAUCAUUAGCUGAUUUUCGUUUUGUUAAAUAAACUGUAUCCUCUCCCUGGUAUUUUUUAAAUAACCUCUCAGCUUCAUGGAUCAGCACUCCAAUCCCUCACCUCCUCUGUUCAGAUCUCUUUUUUUGCCAUUGCAAAUACUUAGUCAACAGCACCUGACUGCCAAGAAGUUUAAAGAUCAACAUUGUUUUAUCCAGAAUAUAAUAUGGUUGUCAUAGUUAUGAGUUCUCACAACCUAGAUUUUCCACAGCCUUUGACAAAUUGCUUAAAUUUGCCGAUUCACAGCUUACACAUCUGAAAAGUAGAUCUAGUAAUAAUUACCUCCUUUUUGCAAGUGUUGAGGGGAUUAAUUAAUCAGUGUUUGUUAAGCACUUAAAAUCCCUUGGAUGAAAGGCACUAAAUUUAAAAUAAUGUUUCAACACAGAAUUUUAAAUGUUAGAAUUAUUAUUGUUAUAGUUCAUCUGAUCUUAAAUAUUACAAUUCCUGUAAAUUCACUUCAUUUGACUGUGUGAUUGCUGAAGCAUCUCUCUCCUCAAAUAAUGUCCAGGGUUGAAUUUAAAGAAAAUUUGAUGGAUGGACAAUCUGAUAUCCCUGGACAGCUGUAACCUGGUGAUACUGUAAAACUAGUUGUUACACAACUGGAUCAAAUUUGCCAAGCUACAGCUUUUAUCCCUUUUGUUUCUUCUAGCUUUUGUCUGCUAUGUAUAAAUGCUCUAUUACACUGUAUCUUCUCUUUUAGUUGAUGCUUAUGUUUCCCUCUGACAGAAGAAUCUUUGAUAAACUGGAAACUGAGUGACUCUGGGAACUCAAUAAUAACCUGCUUUACAGUUUUCCAUUAAUUUCUACAGUUCUUCAAAGAACAAUUCCAUAAUUUUCAGCAUUUUUCUGUUGUGUGUAAUCAAACUGGAUGCAAAUGGACUCAGCAAGCCACAAGAUCCUCUUGCUUCUCACAGAUAAGUAUUUCUCUACCUACACUUUUGAGCAUUUUUAUCUAUAGCUAUGAAUAAAUGUGAAUCAAAUAAAUAAAGAUUAUUCACCCUGAAGAGAAAAGCAGUGGCUUUUAAUGCAGUCUUUAACCUAUUGGUCCACCAAAAUGACCAAUGUUUUCUCUAUUCCUUUGCUUGUACAUUAAAUAAAAGUACCAUGAAUGACCACUUUGCUACAUUUUAAUCCACUCAAGCAUCAUAUAUAGGAGUAUCAGACUCUGUGUUCACAGGAAUAACAUGUAAAAAUUUGUGUGCUCCCCUGUCACAGGGAUACAUAUAAAGUUUUUGGGAGUCUAUAGUUAUGAGUCAGUAGCCUUUCUAUGUGCCAUACGUUUGUAGUUUCACAUGCUUUAGAAUUCCUGUGAUCCCCAGGCAAUAACAGCGUCUUUCCAGAAUUUCUUUCACAGAAACUUUUUUUUUGUGUCCCUAUAUUUUUUCCUUU